AGUGAACGCUGGCGGUAGGCCUAACACAUGCAAGUCGAACGGCAGCACAGUAAGAGCUUGCUCUUACGGGUGGCGAGUGGCGGACGGGUGAGGAAUACAUCGGAAUCUACUUUUUCGUGGGGGAUAACGUAGGGAAACUUACGCUAAUACCGCAUACUACCUACAGGUGAAAGCAGGGGCUCUUCGGACCUUGCGCGAUUGAAUGAGCCGAUGUCGGAUUAGCUAGUUGGCGGGGUAAAGGCCCACCAAGGCGACGAUCCGUAGCUGGUCUGAGAGGAUGAUCAGCCACACUGGAACUGAGACACGGUCCAGACUCCUACGGGAGGCAGCAGUGGGGAAUAUUGGACAAUGGGCGCAAGCCUGAUCCAGCCAUACCGCGUGGGUGAAGAAGGCCUUCGGGUUGUAAAGCACUUUUGUUGGGAAAGAAAAGCAGCAGGUUAAUACCCCGAUGUACUGACGGUACUCAAAGAAUAAGCACCGGCUAACUUCGUG
rnacentral:rRNA from 1 species